rnacentral:rRNA from 1 species
GUGGGGAAUCUUAGACAAUGGGCGCAAGCCUGAUCUAGCCAUGCCGCGUGAGCGAUGAAGGCCUUAGGGUUGUAAAGCUCUUUCAGGGGGGAAGAUAAUGACGGUACCCCCAGAAGAAGCCCCGGCUAACUCCGUGCCAGCAGCCGCGGUAAUACGGAGGGGGCUAGCGUUGUUCGGAAUUACUGGGCGUAAAGCGCACGUAGGCGGACCAGAAAGUCAGGGGUGAAAUCCCGGGGCUCAACCCCGGAACUGCCUUUGAAACUCCUGUUCUUGAGGUCGAGAGAGGUGAGUGGAAUUCCGAGUGUAGAGGUGAAAUUCGUAGAUAUUCGGAGGAACACCAGUGGCGAAGGCGGCUCACUGGCUCGAUACUGACGCUGAGGUGCGAAAGCGUGGGGAGCAAACAGGAUUAGAUACCCGGGUAGUCC